rnacentral:misc_RNA from 1 species
UCUCCGUAGGUGAACCUGCGGAGGGAUCAUUACAGAGUUCAUGCCCUACCGGGUAGAUCUCCCACCCUAUGUUAUUAUUACUUUGUUGCUUUGGCGGGCCGUUAGGCUCCGGCCCGACUACCGGCCCCGGCUGGUAAGCGCCCGCCAGAGGACCCAAAACCCUGAAUAUUAGUGUCGUCUGAGUACUAUAUAAUAGUUAAAACUUUCAACAACGGAUCUCUUGGUUCUGGCAUCGAUGAAGAAACGCAGC